GGGUGCACCAGCCAGCCCACAGCACAGAGCCUGCCUGUUGGUCUCUACCCACAGGGUGUCCCCUGCUGCUCCAGCAUCAGAUUUGGGACACCACCACCCCCGCCCCACCAGAGGGCAUCACCUAUGCCUAGCAAUUACGCCCCCGUGGCUAAAUUAAACUCCCAUUGGCUAAAUUAGGCCCGAAGAGAGGGGCAGCUGCUGCUAAGCUGUGUAUGUUGUCCCCCUAGGACUUCCACCGUUUGCUGAGCUCCACAUGACAACAGCAGACCACAGGCCGCACUGAUCCCACCUGGCUUACAGGUGCUGUCACACAGGACUGCUGACUAAACACUUUCAAGCACAGCGGACCCUUGAACAACGCAGGUUCAGACUGUACAGGUCCAUCCACAGGGAUGUUUUUCAAUCAGUUACACCAAGUGUCCCUGCCUCUCCUGCCUCCCUUCCCACCUCCUCCAUGUCUUCCUCUCUGUCACCCUGAGGCAGCAAGACCAGCCCCUCCUCCUCAGCCACUCAACGUGAAGACAACGAGGAUGAAGACUUCUAUGAUAAUCCACUUCCACUUAGUAAAUACUUUCUCUUAUGAUAUUCUUAAUGACAUUUUAUUUUCCCUACCUUAGUUUAUUCUAAGAAUACAGUAUAAAUAC
rnacentral:lncRNA from 1 species